GAUGAGUCGGAGGGAAGCUUGCUCGAGAGUGGCGCACGGGUGCGUAACGCGUGAGCAACCUACCUCUAUCAGGGGGAUAGCCUCUCGAAAGAGAGAUUAACACCGCAUAAUAUAAUGUACCGGCAUCGGGAAUUAUUAAAUAUUUAUAGGAUAGAGAUGGGCUCGCGUGACAUUAGCUAGUUGGUAGGGUAACGGCUUACCAAGGCGACGAUGUCUAGGGGCUCUGAGAGGAGAAUCCCCCACACUGGUACUGAGACACGGACCAGACUCCUACGGGAGGCAGCAGUAAGGAAUAUUGGUCAAUGGGCGGAAGCCUGAACCAGCCAUGCCGCGUGCAGGAUGACUGCCCUAUGGGUUGUAAACUGCUUUUGUCCAGGAAUAAACCUAGAUACGUGUAUCUAGCUGAAUGUACUGGAAGAAUAAGGAUCGGCUAACUCCGUGCCAGCAGCCGCGGUAAUACGGAGGAUCCGAGCGUUAUCCGGAUUUAUUGGGUUUAAAGGGUGCGUAGGCGGCCUAUUAAGUCAGGGGUGAAAUACGGUGGCUCAACCAUCGCAGUGCCUUUGAUACUGAUGGGCUUGAAUCCAUUUGAAGUGGGCGGAAUAAGACAAGUAGCGGUGAAAUGCAUAGAUAUGUCUUAGAACUCCGAUUGCGAAGGCAGCUCACUAAGCUGGUAUUGACGCUGAUGCACGAAAGCGUGGGGAUCGAACAGGAUUAGAUACCCUGGUAGUCCACGCCCUAACGAUGAUAACUCGAUGUUGGCGAUAGACAGCCAGCGUCUUAGCGAAAGCGUUAAGUUAUCCACCUGGGGAGUACGCCCGCAAGGGUGAAACUCAAAGGAAUUGACGGGGCCCGCACAAGCGGAGACAUGUGGUUUAAUUCGAUGAUACGCGAGGAACUUACCGGGCUUGAAAGUUAGUGAAAACCAGAAUCUUCCUCGACAACUCUCAUGGUGGUCAGCUGCGAGGUGGAUCCAGCGACUUCCAAGGGACAAG
rnacentral:rRNA from 1 species